GUAGUCUUUCUGGAAUGAUGGAAGAUCGUAAUGCUUAAUGCUGGAUUUGAUGAUGAUUCCGGUACCGCCGUGUGCCUUUCCACUGGGGUGUUGGGUGUGGUAGAAGUUGUAGCCGUGUAUUUUGAGGUAGUUUUUGUCGGUGAAGUGGGUUUCCGAUACGAGCAUUACGUCGAUUUGCUGGUGUUUUAGGAAGAGUUCUAGUUCAAAUUUGUGUUGCGCUAGACCGUUGGCAUUCCACAGAGCUAUGCGUCUUGGUUUUAUUUUGCGUCGGGGCGUAUUAAUUUAUCCAUGAUGAGUGUUAGUAGCGAUAGCAAAUUAUUUAUUUGCUCUGAUUGUUUCUCUAUUAGAUUUUCAAGCCUAGAGACGUUGUCUGUGUU
rnacentral:misc_RNA from 1 species